AUGCUCGCUUUUCAGGUACAGGCAUUUGGCCACCCACUUGGUCCAUACGCAUCCAGAGUGUUCUCAACAGUGGCAGUUCAUCCAAAGAUGGAAAAGGAGGGAGUGAAAGAGGGAUGUCAUAGAACGGAGGAAGUGCCAGAGGGGGCGAAGGAUGGAAGACGGGGAGGAAGGAGAGGCCCCCGGAUGAAGGAUUACAACAGGGAGAGUGGGACUGUUAGUUAACUGCGUGUGGGGAUACAUCCUCACUUGUUGAUUUCUUUGUCUUUAGGUUAUAAAACCCUGCCGAGUGAAUAGAGUAGCCAUAGCAUAGCCAACAUCUGGCAGCAGUGAACAGACGCAGCAGAGUUUUAGCUGAUUACAUUGUAGCUCCACCCCCUUCCGCUCUGCAUUAUCCGACUGUGUUGAUACAGCUAGAGCCAGAAUUUGUUCUCCUGACUUAGAUAGUUUACUUCUUUGCUGUCAGAUGAAUAACAGAAAACAUGCAUGCUGG
rnacentral:lncRNA from 1 species